rnacentral:rRNA from 1 species
GGUACGUACGCUAUAAUGCAGUCGAGCGACAGAGAAGGAGCUUGCUCCUUUGACGUUAGCGGCGGACGCGUGAGUAACACGUGGGCAACCUACCUUAUAGUUUGGGAUAACUCCGGGAAACCGGGGCUAAUACCGAAUAAUCUAUUUUACUUCAUGGUGAAAUACUGAAAGACGGUUUCGGCUGUCGCUAUAAGAUGGGCCCGCGGCGCAUUAGCUAGUUGGUGAGGUAACGGCUCACCAAGGCGACGAUGCGUAGCCGACCUGAGAGGGUGAUCGGCCACACUGGGACUGAGACACGGCCCAGACUCCUACGGGAGGCAGCAGUAGGGAAUCUUCCACAAUGGGCGAAAGCCUGAUGGAGCAACGCCGCGUGAGUGAAGAAGGUUUUCGGAUCGUAAAACUCUGUUGUAAGGGAAGAACAAGUACAGUAGUAACUGGCUGUACCUUGACGGUACCUUAUUAGAAAGCCACGGCUAACUACGUGCCAGCAGCCGCGGUAAUACGUAGGUGGCAAGCGUUGUCCGGAAUUAUUGGGCGUAAAGCGCGCGCAGGCGGUCCUUUAAGUCUGAUGUGAAAGCCCACGGCUCAACCGUGGAGGGUCAUUGGAAACUGGGGGACUUGAGUGCAGAAGAGGAAAGUGGAAUUCCAAGUGUAGCGGUGAAAUGCGUAGAGAUUUGGAGGAACACCAGUGGCGAAGGCGACUUUCUGGUCUGUAACUGACGCUGAGGCGCGAAAGCGUGAGGAGCAAACAGGAUUAGAUACCCUGGUAGUCCACGCCGUAAACGAUGAGUGCUAAGUGUUAGGGGGUUUCCGCCCCUUAGUGCUGCAGCUAAGCCAUAAACCAUUCGCCUGGGGGAGUCGGUUGCCAGGAUUAAAAUUAAAAGAAUUGACGGGGGGCCGCCCCAACCGUUGAACAAUUUGUUUAAUUUGGAACAACCGGAAGAACCUUUCCCAGUUUUGACCUUCCGUUGGACCCUGUAGAAAUUAUGUUUUUCCUUUGGGGGCAACGGUUACCAGUGGUGCCAUGUUGUUGUUCACUUGUGUUGUUGGAAGGUGGGGUAAAUUCCGCCACGAACGCCACCCUUUAUUUUUAUUGCCCUCCAUUAAUUGGGCCAUUUUAAGUUGCUGCCGGUGGCCAACCGGAGGAAAGUGGGGAAGGCGUCAAAUUAUCCUUCCCCUUUUUACCUUGGGUACCCCCCUUCUUCCAUGGGCGAUUCCAACCGUUUCCCACUUCCGAGAAGGAAGUAAUUCCAUAAAGUUGUUUUCCAUUUGGAUUGUUGGGUUCCACUUCCCUACCAGAAACCCGAAUUCGUUGUUAUUCCGGAUCCACCUAGCGGGGUGAAUUCCUUUCCCGGCCUUGUUCCCCCCCCCCUUAAACGCCCCGGAAUUUGUAACCACCGAAAUUGGUUGGGUUAACUUUGGAGCCAGCCGUUAUAGUGUCUCGGUAGUUGCACCCCGUCCGUGGCCC